GACGAACGCUGGCGGCGUGCCUAAUACAUGCAAGUUGAGCGAUGAAGAUUGGUGCUUGCACCAAUUUGAAGAGCAGCGAACGGGUGAGUAACGCGUGGGGAAUCUGCCUUUGAGCGGGGGACAACAUUUGGAAACGAAUGCUAAUACCGCAUAACAACUUUAAACAUAAGUUUUAAGUUUGAAAGAUGCAAUUGCAUCACUCAAAGAUGAUCCCGCGUUGUAUUAGCUAGUUGGUGAGGUAAAGGCUCACCAAGGCGAGGAUACAUAGCCGACCUGAGAGGGUGAUCGGCCACCUUGGGACUGAGACACGGCCCAAACUCCUACGGGAGGCAGCAGUAGGGCAUCUGCGGCAAUGGACGAAAGUCUGACCGAGCAACGCCGCGUGAGUGAAGAAGGUUUUCGGAUCGUAAAACUCUGUUGGUAGAGAAGAACGUUGGUGAGAGUGGAAAGCUCAUCAAGUGACGGUAACUACCCAGAAAGGGACGGCUAACUACGUG
rnacentral:rRNA from 1 species